rnacentral:rRNA from 1 species
CAGUCGCCGCGGUAAUACAGAGGGUGCGAGCGUUAAUCGGAUUUACUGGGCGUAAAGCGUGUGUAGGUUGUUGUUCAAGUCAGUUGUGAAAUCCCUGGGCUCAACCUGGGAACUGCUUCUGAGACUGAACGACUAGAGUACGGUAGAGGGUGGUGGAAUUUCCGGUGUAGCGGUGAAAUGCGUAGAUAUCGGAAGGAACAUCAAUGGCGAAGGCAGCCACCUGGGCCUGUACUGACACUGAGACACGAAAGCGUGGGGAUCAAACAGGAUUAGAUACCCGGGUAGUCCCUGUCUCUUAUAA